CAGCCGCCACGGGAAUACGUAGGUGGCAAGCGUUGUCCGGAAUUAUUGGGCGUAAAGGGCUCGCAGGCGGUUUCUUAAGUCUGAUGUGAAAGCCCCCGGCUCAACCGGGGAAGUGGCACGGAUACGACCGGGCUGGAGGGAGGUAGGGGGGUCUGGAACUUCCGGUGGAGCGGUGAAGUGCGUUGAGAUCGGAAGGAACGCCCGUGGCGAAAGCGAGGCCCUGGACCUUUUCUGACGCUGAGACGCGAAAGCCAGGGGAGCGAACGGGAUUAGAGACCCCUGUAGUCCCUGUCUCUUAUAC
rnacentral:rRNA from 1 species